UGUUCUGGCUGCGAGCAUAUCCCUUAGGUACAAUAAGAAGAAGGAGUAAAUAUCAGGCUCCCUGCCUGCAUGGCACUGCUUUUUGGGAGCCUUCCCUUCUCUUCAGAGCAGAUUGGCAGCAAUCCCACAGGAGGGAGAUGGCAUGUUGCUGUGGUGACAGUGGGCAGCAGAGGUCUCAGCCAGCCCCAGCAGGCGUGCGAAGUGAUAGAGUGAGGUGUUGUGUUCAUCUACAGGAUUUCAGGUCCAGCAGUGUCCAAGUAACUUCUGUGCUCAGUGGCAGUUAGGAACUAGCACAGCAUCUGCCUGCAGCGUUUCGAAUGGUUGGAGGAGGACAAAAAAUGCAUGGCCCGUAUUGCAUAAAGUAUGGCAUCUCCUGAGUGUGGCAGCCCUGACACUGAUGCUGAACUUGUGUGCCCUGUGCCAGGCAGGGGAUUGGCACCGGAGCAGGUCACACUGAGCCAUAAUUGCUCGAACAAAACUAAUAGCUUCUUACUAUGAAGACACUUCUCAAGCCUGCAGUAGUAUUUUUGAACUCAACAUUUUAAAUUCAGGUGAUUACAGAAUGGACAUAUGUUCACCAUGGCAAACAUGAAUGAUGAUGGCAUAUGUGUAUUCAUACUCUUAAGUGAUUCGAGCUGCUUUUGAGGCUGGAAUUUCUUGUGACUUCCUGGCAGUAAAGAGGGGGACAGGAGCUCUUCAGCUUUUAAGAGAUGCUGCAGAGUAAGUCAUAGCUGUAGCCUCCUCUGUCUUCAGAGGAGCAAAAACACGUCAGUGGGAUCAAAUAAUUUAGUUUUGGAAUAGUUAUAUUUUGACACUCUGCAGUGGGUAUUUUGGAUUAGAUCCUGAUGGAUCAGAACCAUGGAAGAGAUAGAAAUAGACACAAUGGAUUUUUCCCUUAGCCAAUUCUAGUAAAAAGUAUCAAGUUGUUCCAGUGAGAGAUACCAUGUGUAGACUUAGAUAUGCUCUUGCCUUAUUGCUUUUUUGCCUGAAAGGUUUUUACCUUUACCUGCUCCUUUACCUGGAGCAACUGGAGUGGACUUUCAUGCUGAACUUGAGCCUUUCUUCCUGCCCAAAACAAAGUCUUCUGCUUCUCCAAUGGAAGCUGCCUCUGUUCCUUCUCUGGCACUGCCUGGAGGCUUCAGGGAGCACUGUGCCAUCCCACUGGAUUCCUCCUGGUCCCGACACAGCAGCUGAAACUAGACCAGUCCCAGUCCUGCCCUCUUCCUCGAGACUUACCUGAAGGCUGCAUGGAGCUUGGGGGCAUCUGCUGGACUCUGUUGUCCCGAUGCAGAAGCACAGAGUACACAAGUUCCAGUCCUGCCCUCUUCUUGAGGGCUCGUCUGGAGGCUGCAGGGAGCUCGAGGCUUUCCACUGGACUCCUCCUGUUGUCCCGGCACAGCAACUUAGAAGAGACACAGGGGGACCGCAGGAGGAUCCGUCUGUCCGGCCGCAGUGAGCCCUCUGGCCUGGAUGCGCGGAGCGAUGCAGUGCCAGUAGCUCCUUGGAGCUGGUGUGAGGAGAGCCCAGUUUCCAGUGGAUCUGUGCUGUGAUGCUGACAGAUUUUGCUGUCUAGAAGAACAUCCUGCUUCACUUUCAUGUCCAAAGCUACUGAGAUGCUUUGCCAACUCUGAGCGCAGCAUUAAAAUAAAAGAGAGACUCGAUCCACUUGACAUUCAAGGAUAAGUAGUUUUUUUCCCUUCUUUAUUUUCCCGUUAGAAGAUGAAGAGAUGAUCAGUUUUGAAUUUGUACAUUAGGGCAUAUGAAUGGUGAUGUUUUGUUGCAAGUACUCCUGCUUUGAGUACAAUAACAGCACUCAGGUAGGAAAGCUGUGGUGCGAAAGAGCUGCAAACUGAAGGUGAAGCAAACUAUUUUGUCCAGCUAGCAAUACCCGAUUUGGAUUAAAAACAAGGAAGAUCCCCUUGAUCCAGAAUUAGGAGCUCCAUUGUGUGUUCAAUAGAAGCUGUAGAUGCUGAGUAUCAUUCAGGUUGUUGCCUGAGGGUGAAACAAUGAAGAUUCUUUUGGAAAGUGGCUAAAAUUUGGGUCCGUGAGCAUGAGGUCAUUUGGUGCUUGUGUAAUCUUCCCUGCUCACAGCCACGUGGAUCAGUCAUCAGAGGCUGAAAUCUUUGCUGCCAAAUUUGAGCCCAGGAAAGGUGUUAGAGAUAGAAUUGCACUGUGAUCCUUGGGAAAAGAGGGCAUAUCUUUGUCAUUUUGCGUUACUGACAUUUCUAGGGAUUUUGACAGAAGGAAGAUAGCAGGAAUGUGCAACUCCUGUCAGUGAGCAUCCCGAAAUAUUUCUGAGUAAACGAUGGCAGAUGCUUCAAGCCAGAGAUGCUGUUAGACACUGAGAAAUAUGAUUUUCUUUUACUCUCAGUUGAAGCUCGGGUUAUCUUAUUUUCCCAAGCAAAAGGUCAAUAUGACAUUCACGUAAUAUAUUCAUACAACUCUUGUAUUUCAUUAUUGCCAUUGUUUUUUGUGUGUAAAUAGCGAUGAAACAGCUAAAUGCAUUGAAAAAUAGCAGUUAAUCACUAGCCAGGAGGCAGGCAGUGCUAAAAAAUGUUUCCCUGGUUUAAGUAGUAUUUCUUACUUAAAAACAAGUUUUAUUUGGCUUGUGUGCAGAGCUCUGUCUUCAUAAACCUUUAAUCUCAGAGCUGUCAAACCUCCUUUGACCCAGAGUUUCACAGUAAAUAGAAAAAAAAAAUGACAAAGAUGCUCUUCUGUAGAAAAGUGAGCUUAGGGAGUGUAGUUCAAGGUGAAAAUCUUGUAGUGUUGUUUCAGCAACAGUAAUGGAAAUGGAUUCAAGGGAGACUUUUCUGGAUCAUUCCUGAAUCUCUAAAGACAAAGCCUUGAGAAAAUGAUAAAGUACAGUGAAUCUGUGAUCUUCUAGGGGAGUCCUGAGCGGCCUCUGCAGUGGGUGAGAGGAGAAAGCAGAUGGCAUGGAGCUGUGCUGGAUACCUGGCAGUGUGCAGGUCAUUACACAGGCAAGCUGCUGUGUCACAUUCAGCACAGAGCCGUUCCAUAGGUGAAUCAGGCCAUGACAGCAUUUGUCUGCUUCUUGUACUCUGCACACGAAUGUGAUGUAAGGAGGCAGCGAAGCAAGCGCUUGAGCACUUAGUUCCAAGUUUUUGUACAGGCGUACCUCAAUGCAGCUGUAAGAUGUAAACAUUAAUUAUUUUCUGUAUUGCACCUGGGGAGUGAUUGGGAGGAGUAUAGAUGUCAGGUGCAGUGGGGGCACGAGUAGAGAGUUUCGUGAGGUUUUGAGCGUAUUUUGUAUUUUAUUAUGAGAAAGGCAAGCAAUGUACUGACAGUCCUCACAGAUCUUUUGAGUCUUUCUUCUGUUUUCUUGGCGGCCAGUCUUUGCAUUUAAAAUGUUUAUUUGAACAAGUGGGUGAGGAAGAAGCAAGCGUGGAUGGUAAGCAGCAGUAGGCAGAAGCAGUUGAUGGCAUGGGAUGUGUGCCAGGACAUGGGCCUCUUCGUUCUUCCAAUGUUCACAGAGAAAUAGCAGAAACCAUUUUGGGGGGGGGGGGGGGGGAAAGGCAAAAAAACCAACCAACUCUCUUCUGCUUGUUUUAAUUUCUAAGGCUCACAGGUUAGAUUCUGGCUCAGGAAAACAUUCUGUGAUGCUCUUUGAGGCACCUUCCACUUUCACCAGCUGCUGGAGGAUGGUGAGAAAGUGUGAGCUGGGAGAUUACUGAAGCAGGGACCAAGCCUUUAACUUCUUUGAACGGAUGUGUAACACAGGGAUGCACCACCAGUUCACAGAAGACAGUGGGUCAUGUGCAGGAUUAGUCUAUUUAGAGAAUGUGGUCCCUUUUUCCCUCUCACAAAAUGUCUACAGAUAUCUUUUGAUUUCCGUGAACUAUUUGGCAGACAUGUUCUGGAAUUAAUCCGGGUGGAUUGUUCAUUAAUAAUUUUAUUCUGUUGUUUGGCGAUGAUUGACCACGUUAGUUGGAAGAUGUCCUUUCCUUGGCUUGGGUAGAGAAGUACACUCCUACUUACGGGAUGAAUGUGUGUAUGUGAUUUAAAAUCCAUUUUCUGUGAAUACUCCUGUGUAUGAUUUUGAAGUAGAUUUGUACAAGUAUUUUUGCAAGUAAAACUCACUCACUUAAAUGUUGUCAGAAAACAAGUGCUAAAAGAUGCAUGGUAUCAUGUGGUUAUGUACUUUAAUGUUAUUAUCCCAACUGUACUUCAUGCUUUACUUCAUCCUGAGCAGUGAACGAUGUCCAGACAUUUUGUUUUGGUCAGAUUUUUCAGUAUUUCAUUGUGUUGUUCAUGAGUCCCUUCAGCACUCCACUGUUGGUAUGAACUUUGCAGAGUUUAGACAGCAUCACAGUAUUCAACAGCAGCAUUAGGUGGACAAAUGGAUGGACUGAAAAUGAGCUCCCAUUUGCCUGGUUAGAGGCAGGCAGGCAGGACACCCACCUCAGCAGAUGCUCUGGGAUGAUCAGAAGGGGAGGGGAUUUUUAUGACUCCAGUGCCACUUGGAUGUUACUGAAAAGGCAUUCGGCCACUUCUUUCCUGGAACAUUAGAUCUUGCACUUGCAGCAUCUCCCAGACUAAAUAAAGUCAUCUUAAAUAAAUGAUGAAAAUGCAGAAAAUACAUCUGUGAAAAGAAGCAAAUUAAGAAACCGAUAAAAGUACAAUUAUCAUUUCUAGAUAGGAGCAUGCUCACCACAGCUACAGGUUCCUAUAUGCCUUAUCUGCUCCUGGAUUUAUUUUCAGUAAUUGGAAGCCAGAAUACCUGUUACAUUUUUGCACUCUGAUACAGCAGGAUUAGGUAGCCAGACUUUUGUUACCUUCGUCCCGAUUCUUUUAAAACCUAAAGACUUGGAUAUUUCAGUCAAUAUAGAAAGUAUGGUAGGCAGUUACACUCUUUGUAUAUUCUGUACUGAUGACCAGUGUGAUAUAUUGCAGUGGAAUGAUUGUGUGUCGUGUAGAGAAUACAUCAAGAGUGGUAAGGAAAAGAGCAGACUUGGUUGUGGGAAACACAGGAUCACCACUCUUCAUUUUUGGAGCAGACAGGAACACCAUUAAUCAGCGUAUGAGCAGCUUUGAAAAACUCAUUCCAAGUUAUUCUGGGGCUAGGUGAUGGCCCAAGAUUGUACAGCUAACAAAAGGUGGCAGGGAGGGACAAAGAGCAAGAGGAUGAAGACUAAGCGCUCCUGGGUAUCAGAUCUCUUGUCUAGAUGAGUCUUUGGGAUGUGCUAAAGACAAAUUAGAGAUUGCAGGUUAGAUUGCAGGUUAGAUAAGAUGUAUACUGAGUGAUUGUUUGUUAGGACAUAUGAUUUAUGAAGUCUUUAAAGUGUUGCAGUGAAAAAGACCACUUAGACUGGAAGGAAUGUGUUAAGAAACAGAAACUCAGGGCAGCCCUCAGAGGGGAGGAGGGGAAAGCCCAGGAAUGGCAGCAAGAGUCAAGAGAAGUGCAAAAAGAGGAAAGGAGAGAGUGGUGUUGAACAAAGGGCACGAGGAGUUGCUCAGAAAAGCUCUGUGUUGGAGGGAGAGGGUCAGUGAGGAGAAAAGAUGGGCAGGGGAAGGUGUCUGAAGGCUAGACCUCAUCAGCCAAGUUCAGGAUGUCAAGAGAAGCCUUGGGUCCUGUAGCUGAGUGGUGUCUAAAAUAUCACGAGAGCUGGCAAAGAAGGUCAGUGCAGUCAUUCAGUGUUAUUUAGUUAAACUCUGUUUUUGUAGGAGUAUUUUCAAGUUUUCAACCCAGAAUCUUUGCCCUUGCUAGAAUAAACCUCUCCUUGUUUUUCAGCCUAAGCAAAUUCAGUAUUUCAAGUGACGCUUGGUUGAGCUGCCUUGGUACUGCUAAAACAGCCAUGCUUCUCGUGUUUCUGUGAGAGUGCUGGACAAGGAGAAGCUUGGAGGAGUCAGGCAAGAGCUGAGCUGUUCCCUGCAGAGCUGGACUCCAGCGGUGGUAUCCCAGGGCUGGAUGUCAACCAGUGUCCUUCGAUCAGGGACCAAGUGCCAGAAGGGCCGCAAUUUCAGAUAUCCUAAGUCAUUUGAGAACAGCAGCUUUUGGAUGUUCGGCUGUAGGUGACGUUUUGGGAAAGGCAGCAUGUAGUGUUAGGCCACAGAUCUCACCCGGUGAUCUAACUGAAGAUCUUCACCUCUUCCCAUGUCCCCGAUCCCCCUUCGUAUUGCUCUCCUCCUGCAAAAAGCAAGUGGCUACUAUCCACUCAUCCAUUCUAGAGUCUGUCCAGCUGCCAACCAAGGCCUCCUGCUCCUUUGGGCCCUGAGGGCAAAGAGCCGGCUCGAUCGGGUGGGAUGUCCAUGUGGGCAGGGGCAGGGAGGUGGGAGAGGGGAAGAAUGGCUUCCAGGGGAGCACAGCCCAUGCCUAGUGCUGUAAUAAUGGAGUAUGUGGUCCCCAGGGAGAUCAAACUCACUUUGAAUGCAAGGGAAGGAUUCUGCUAUGCAUUUUAACAUGGGAGGGCUGGAGCCUCAGCUAUUUUUAAUUUUUGAAGGAAGAUUUUGACAAGUGAGUGACAGAUUUCAAGUUUCCUACUCAGGAAUAAAUAGAGGCAACUGUUUCUUAGCAUACCAUAUUUCCAAUUAAUAAAACGUGUGGGACUUGUGGCACUCAUAAAGCUGAUUAGCAGCGGGGAGCCCCUAAUUUCUAUGCAGAGGGGACAUGCGUUCCCGGCUUGGGGCGCUCAGUGGCUGCUGGUGGGAUUCUCAGGGCUCUGUGAGCUGAGGCUUGCCGGCCAGUUCACAGACACAAGGAUGGGCCGGGUUUGCUUGGAAGUUCAAGCUCAAUGAACUGAGACUCCAGAGAACAAUUCCCCGGCUGCCGCCACCUCCCUGCACAGCCCUCUGAAGCUCUCCGUCCUCAGAACCCACCGGCCUGCCUCUCUUAAUACGUUCACAAAUUUUCCCAACAAAAGAGCAAUUACAACCUUACAGAGACUGCUCACAAAGAGAGUGGGGAUGACCCCGGCGAGGGGUUUGCACUACUCAACACAUGGCCAGUCACCAACAAAGCCAGCCCCGCUCCCAUUUGAUCCCAGAAGAGCCUCUCAGACUGGCACGCUUGACCAAAAGCUGCCCGGGUGAGUCAUUCGUCUGGCGGCUCGGUGAUUCAUGGGCCUCCAGGAAGAAGGGAGGAGGGAGGCGAAGGCUUUUCAGAGUUGAAGUUAAAUGCAAGAGAAACACAUUCUCCAAAACUUGACUGUGUCCAAUUGGUGUGUGAAUACCCGGACAAAGCCAUGGCAGGAGCCCUGGUGGGCCUCGCUGUGUGGCUCUGAGGGCGAGCUGUGCUGCAGGGGGCACCUUCCCAAAUCCAUACUCUGGGCCAUGUGGAGUGCAUAAAGAAGUGGUGCUUUACAUCCCAACUGUGUGUGCUCCACAGCUUCCCCUGACUUCCCAGUCGGGCAUGCUUUGGGUUGGAUACUAAGUGCUUUGACCUAAUAUCAGGGUCAAAACUUCAACUGACUUUGACUUAAAAUCUAAGCUUCUGCACUGUGCUAACAGUACUGGCUCCUUCUUGUAUCUGUGAAGCAAGCAUACCGCAGGCAAGCGCUCCAUCCCUGGAGAGGUGCCUGCCCAUGGCAUACAGGAACACGCAGCAGGAGCCUCUCUCCUCACAUGCUUUGGAAUACUGUGUCUGGUUCUGGGCUCCUCAGUUCAAAAAAGACAGAUCUUCUAGAGAGAGCCCAGCGGAGGGCCACCAAGAGGAUCGGGGCCUGGAGCAUCUCCCGUAUGAGGAAAGGCUGAGAGCCCUGGGGCUGUUCAGUCUGGAGAAGAGAAGGUUGAGAGGAGAUCCCAUCCCUGUUUAUAAAUAUCUGAAAGGCGGGAGUCAAAUGGAUGGGACCAGGCUCUUUUUGGUGGUGCCCAGCAACAGGAGCAGAGGUAAUGGGCAUGAAGUGCAACACUGGACGUUCCAUACAAAUAUGAGGAAGAACUUCUUUCCUGUGAGGGUGGCGGAGCGUUGGAACAGGCUGCCCCAAGAGCUGUUGGAAUCUCCUUCUCUGGGAAUUUUCCAGACCUGCCGGGAUGCUUUCCUGUGCAACCUGCUGUAGGGAACUGCUUUAGCAGGGGGUUGGACUGUGGGAUCUCGAGAGGUCCCUUCCAACCCUACAAUUCUGCAAUUCUGUGACCCCACCACCCGGCUGCACCGCUCUCAUCCCUCAGCAGUGACCAGGAGAGGCUGCAGGGCCACCAGGCCUCAGCUCAGCCCACCGAAAUGUUUGCGUCCCGCAUACCCCCACGAGUCGCCUGCUGCAGGGGAUUGUGUUACAUAUUGCUUCAGACACACAGGUCAAAACACUAAAUUAUUUAGCAGCCAUUGCCAGAUGGAUUUUAAAACAAUUAACAAGUGCUAAAAAUAGGCAGCUCUCUCUGUCUCAUGGAUUUUGCCAAAAAGCAUCUGUUUGCUGUUCUCUUGCCAGAAAUUUAUGCUGAGGAUGCAGCAGAGGCCUCGUGCUCACUGCAGUCGUUGGGGUUUCAGCUGUGCCUGGGCCGCUGCAUGGCUGCAGGCUGCAGUGCAUCAGGGUACAAGUGCCACUGGCAGGCGGUUGUUUGUGCACAGAAAAGAGUUUGAACUGCUGGAUAUUGUUUUUCUUAUUAGUGGUAUUACUAUUGUAACUCUAGCGUGCUUCUCACUGCUUUGUCACCUGCCUUUGGUGGCUGGGUUGUGCUGUCCCAAAUCCAUGUUGGGGUGCUGAUGGCAGGAGCAAUUAAGGCUCUGGCAACAAAGAAGCUUGAGGGCUUAAAUCCCUCCGAAGGACUCAGGUCCUCUCCUUUUCCAUGCUGCAGCAGGUGGAGAGACACCAAGUGGGGUGUAGAAACCGACUGUUUGCUUCAACUCCCUAUCCAUGUGGUAAGGCAUUGUGGGACGUGUAGUUCAAGGCUUCCUGGGGCCUGCAGCUCCCUGUUGUCAGGGCAGAAGCAUCGUCUGGCCACGUUUCAGGGCUCUGCCAUCAAGACUGUGGCCUCUGAGCGUGUGUUUAUAUCUGCAGCACAGGAUGUGCUUUGCACGGAGUAAAAGGGAGCGUUUGUUUCUUUUUUGAGUUUGCAGUCACCCAUAAAAGCAGGUGCUCUGUGUUGAGCCCCAGGUUUAUGAGCCGCCGCUGCCAGCUGAGCUCUGAUGCUCCGCUUGGUGCCACUUGCAGCACUACGCUGAGCAGGCCCUGGGGAGCAGUGCAGAUGAUGGAGCACAUUUCAGUGAGUUUCUGUUUCUAAAAAAUGUUACACUAGGCAAAGGAGUUGGACCUGAAUGAAAGUGGCGGAUCUAAUUUUAGACAGUACCUAUGAAUGAAACUUGAAACGAGCUGUUCAGGAAAUACCUUCCUCUGUGCCAGUGCCAGGGAGAGUAUGUGAUUUAAUGCUAAAUUAGCCAGUGCCUAUGAACAGGUUACUGCAAGAAUAUUUUUCCUUCCUUUAACUAAAUUAUUUUAAAAAAAACAAAGUCUUAAUUUCUACGUAUGUGCCCAUGUCGUUUUGCAAAAGCUGCAGAUCUUCCACCUCUGGGGAGUGAGUGCCUCCUCUGCUUCAGGGCCAUAUGUCACCUCUUGAAGGCUGUUUGUCACUGCAGCCCCGCACUGAAGAGCUCUUUUCUUCGAUCUGGUGUCUGGGGAUGUCCAGAAGUGAAUGGUAAAUACGAAAGGACCUUGAGCAAACUGAAAGCCUAUCCCAGGGCUCUUGCCCAGAUGAGCAGCCACGUUAGCUUUCAAGAGGCCAAAUCUCUUUCAAAUGUGCUUUGUUAUAUAUUGACCAAACCUUCCUCUUUUCUUAAGAAAGACAGGAGGGAAUACUGCCCCACCAGAUACCAAGCAGGCAUCCUGUCCCUGUCUCUGAGGCCUUUUAUCACACAGCUUUUCAUGUCCAUAAUUUGGGACCCUGGAGACCUGAGGGUUUAGCUGAGAAAUAAAUCAGCAAACAAGCUCUGUACUUUCCUGCACAGUCUUUGCAGCCAAACACCGAGUUACAGGCACCUUUCUGUGUAAGUGGGCUAGGUGCAGCAAGCACAGCACUCACAGCACUUGAUCAAUGAAUAAUUUACAGGUAUAGUAAGCCAGUUACUCCUAUCUAACCCCUAAUGAGAUUCUUGGCCCUUGGCAAAGGAAGCUGUAGUAAGUAAAAGUGCAGAAAUGUUUUGUAAUGCUUUUUUUCCUUCAUCCAGAUAAUCUGAGUCUUGGGUCAAAUCCAUCGUUAACUAACCAAACCUCCCUCAAUCUUGUAUUUUAUGAAGUUUCCACGUGGAAAGGCUUUAAUGAGUUCCUGUUCAUGACGAAACUUCCUAUGCUGGAUGCAGCCCUGAAUCUCAUGCCAGCGCUGGCGUAGCAUGGGCUGGUGCUGCUAGACCCGGACACCUGGAGCUGCACUGCGUAGGUGCUGGGUCAUCGCAACGCCUUCCAGCACGGCUGCUCCAGGGAGUACUGGCAGAUGCAUGACCCAAGGUUUUCUUCUGAGGAGCACGAAGCCAGAGAUCCUCCUGCUGUGGCCGGUGAGCAGGCAGCUCUCACAGCUCUGACCUCGGAACUUCAGCUUCUCAACUGACACUGAAGGACCUGCAGAUAUGGCUCAGGAGAUGUGGCCGUUAGCUGCCCAGGGUUUGGCUGGUUUUGUCCAGGGGGAUCACUGUGUCCCUUGCAUAUAUGCGAUCCGUGAGACAAUCUCUGUGAUGGAAUGUGCAUGCUGUGAGUAUGGUUUCAAACCAUUGUUAGCUUUAUUCUCACAGUGUUCCUUUUAUUCUCCCCUCUGCAGAUGAAUUUUGUCCAAGACCGCUGCCCACUGGGACACAAGCCAGACAAAGCCAAAGGGCAGCUGUAAAUUAAAACAGGCAGAGUUGUGAUCAGUCUCUCCUUCCUGAUUGCAGUCGAGUGGAAGAAGCCUGAAGAGCUCCUGCUGCCCAGGCUGCCAGGUGGAUGGACCCUGCACAGAGAAGGAUGGUCACUUAGAGGCUGCUUCAUCCCUUUGGCAGGAAAUUGAGGGGAGAGAGCCCCUUUCCCUUCAAGCACCCAUGUAGCCACUCUUUGCCGGUGCCAUACCACUGGUGGGUCCACUUCUGGCAUAGGAGAAAGCAUAUUAGUCCCCGUCUGCCCACUUUGUGCAGGGGAAUGGGGCAGUUGGUGCUGCUGGCUGGCAGUGCUGUCUCCUCCCAGUCAGGUGGCAGAAGGUCUUCAGAGUGGCCUAGGAAUGUAAACAAAACAAAACUGUUGCACAGUCUGGCCAGUCAGCAGUUCCAGCAACUGAGAGUGAUGGCCAGCACAGCUGAAUCCAGUUGCCAAAAUAAGUCUUUGGGAUACCCCACAAUGACCCACAGUGAUAGUCGUGUGUACCCCUCAGCCUCAGCCUAAUUCCUGUGGGAAUCAGCUUUACACUGGCACAGGAGAGCAGAGUGCUUGGUUUACAGAGUUGUUUUUCAUCUGUGACGGCCGUGGCUUUUAAGGCUAUGAAAUCAUGAAACACUCUCUCGUCUGUACUCAGAAUGUCUCAGGAAGACACCCAUGUGAUCACCAUGGUGCUCACAGAAGCCUUUGUUGGGAAGAAGCUUAUCCAGCCUGGCAAGGGGAGCAGGAGGGAGAGAAGCCUGUGUGAGCUCGGGCCAACUGGGAAUGUAAACCGCACUGACCAAGCAGAGUUGGGGAAGUUGCCAGCAAACGCAGAAAAAAGGAAAGGAAGGAAGAUGUGGAAAGCAUGAGAGCGCAUGACCUUGGAUCAAUCCUUCAGCCUCUGGGUGGGGCUUCUGGAUGAAUGAACUGUUGACAGUGACACCAGAUCUGACCUCUUUUAAGAGUGAUUUGAUGUUUCUUUAAGCAACACCCCGUCUCUAUGAAGAAAUGCCAACAGAGGAGAAGUUUCAAGCUUGCUAUUUUUAUUUAAGCUGUUGGAACGGUAUGGACAUAAUAAGUGUUUUGGAAUAGACAUCAGUGUCCAAAGCCCAUUGGAAGCAUGCUCUAUGCAGGCGUCUCCGAAGUCUUGAUGAAGAGUGAAAAAAUGAAGAACAACGCAGUACAGCCAAACCAACUCAUUCAGGCGAUACAGGUCCAGAUUGUGAAAAAUGAUGUCUGAAUGUCAGGUGGUCUGCUGAACCUGAGGAGGAGGACUUGGAGUGUAUUUUGGUGUGACCAGCAGCCUGGCUUUCAUGUCUCUGGGGUCUGGGGCUAAAUUUAGCUGCCAGCAAGUCUUGUACAAUUCAGCUGACUUCAGCAGAACUGCCCAGGAGAGCACAACUGUGCUAUUUGCAUGCAUUGUGUGAUGCUAUGGAGUCCCACCUGGAAGGUGCUACAGAGGUUGGAGUGGUGGCUGACACAGGUGAAGGUCACAGUGCUUAGUGCUGAAGAGGAUCAGACUGUUUUGGAGGACACUGUGUGGGGGCCUGGCUUGGAGUCUGAUGUUGGAGAAGUACAGUGGAUUGAGGAAUGGUGCUUCUGCUCUUCCCAGACACACCUAUAGGUAAGUAAUAAAUGAUACAACAAAAAUAAGUAGGCUCAUUAAUAAGUUUCUGCCAUUAAAAUAAUUUCUUAGCUGCAGACCCUAUUCACACAAGAACCCUCCAUAGCAUGCAAAGGCACAUAUGUGUUGCCUGAGCUCUGUGUCCUUCUGUAGGCAGCUGGGCUGUAGCCCAGUGCCAGCUUCCAGCAGGGUUGUUUUCCCUACUUUGAUUUAUAAUUACUGAUCACUUGGAAGGAUGGAGAGGAAAGGCCUGAGUUUUUUUGUUCCUCGUUUAAUAAUUUAAUUUGUAUUCUGAUCUUCAAAUCCCCAUAGCACCAUGUGAAGUAGAGAAACUCUGCAGGGGAGGGGGGGAGGAGGAAUAAAGGAGGGAGCCAGGGCUUUCUAUUUCCAUAUGGUGAGCCUCUCCUCCUUGCGAUCACAGCUUGUCAUCUGUCUUCUUUUAAACUUCAGAUCCCAUGUAAAAAUCUUCCCAGCAAAGAAUGGGCAAUAAAUGUGACACAAAGGCAAUCCAUGUGAAGAGAUUACAUGGGGUACCCAUGGAGCAUGGUUUUGUUAGAGGUUUUCUUUACAUACAGGCAUGGACAUGAGAAUAAACAGCCCCAGGAAUGGUGUAUUUCCAUAGAGGGGCACAGUGGCAUGGGUGUUACUGAUAGUCUGGGGAGAUAAGCCUGAAUAUUUCUCUGCAUAUACUUGGCAGAUGGAAUGAUAGGUGCCUUUCUUGUCGGAUUGAAAGGUCAGAUUUAGUGAUCACAUGAUAUAUGUGCUCUUAAUUAAAGCUGAUGGCCAGCAUGGCUCAGUGCAGGCCAUGGACCUGCCUCCUUGCAAGCUGGGAGUGCUCGGUGGCAGUGUCCCAUCAGCAGAAGCAGAGGAAUUGUUCUGGCACUGGCAUGGGACUUUCUGCAAAUACACGUUGUAGCCCCCUGACUUUCAGGUUUGCACAAGAAGAGCCACCUUGCACCUGCUUUUGUGCAGCCCAAAUGCUGCUCACGACCAACACUUUUCAGCAUCAAUUUUAUCAAGUUGAUUCAAGUGAACUUUGCUUUAAAGAAAGAUGGUGGUUUACAGCCUUAGUGUGAUGCCAGCACCUCUGCAACUCAUACUUUGUGUGCCCUCGAGCUCUGCAGUGCAGUGCAAUGCAGGUGGCAGGGGGUGGGGACAGCCCUUGCUGCAUCCCUUGUGUUGUGUUGCUCGCACAGUGCCCUCCUGGUGCUUAGCAGGUGCUCCCCCUUCCCUUCCCUUCCCUUCCCUUCCCUUCCCUUCC